CCAAGGUUCGACUCGAGCGCCAGCGAGAGAGCGUUGCCGCAGGCAACGACCCGAAGGGCGAAGCGCGCAGCGUUGAGUAAUCCUUCCCCCACCACCA
rnacentral:sRNA from 1 species